UUCAGUUCACGGUAAUCAACACACAGUCGAAGCGUUCCGUCUUUUUUCUUUACAAACAAAACAGGAGCUCCCCAGGGUGAUACACUAGGCUUACAAAGCCUUUAUCCAUCAAUCCUGGUGCAACUGAGCUUUCAGUUCUCUCAACUCAGCUGGUGCCAUUCUGUAUGGAGCCUUCGAAAUUGGCGCCGUUCGGGAACCAAGUCAAUAACGAACUCAAUUUUCCGAUCCGCGGUAAUCCCGGCAGCUCCGCAGGAAAUACAUCAGGAAACUCUCGAACCACUGGAAUAUCUCCAAGUGCUGGAAGUUCCUUCUGGUCUCCACCACUGUUGCCAAAUAGGCUACACAUCCUCUACUAAUCAACUCUUUCUCGCCCUCGUAGUCGAUACAGUUAGUGCAAAGAGCGAACUCUUGCACCUCGAUAUACAACCUCCUUCUGCUCAGGUUCACGAAAAGUAAUAAUUUACUUUCGCAAUCAAUUGUGGCAUAGUACUUUUGUAAGCCAAUCCAUCCCAAGAUUAUAUCAAACCUUUCAUUAGCUUCAACACUAACAAAUCAGCUGGCAUAAUCCAAUCUCCAAUCUGUACUGGACACGCCGCACAUUCUCGUGAACACUAAACGUCGUGCUCAGGAGCAUAGACCCACCAGGCAUCUGGUCUAUCCGAAAUCUCAAAAUCAUGUGUUCUAGCAAAUGAACUACUAAUAAAGGAAUGAGAUGCACCGGUAUCAAACAAUGUGCGAGAUCUAAUGCCAUAAAGUAAAGUAAUACCUGCCACGACAUCGGUCGACCACGGCAGGAUCCUCAGCCUGAGCUGCAAAUACUCGUCCACUCUUGUGCAGGGUCGAGACGCCUCAGUCCUGGUACUCGUGCAGGUCGGGGUGGCUCAUACUGACGCGACGCAAAAGAACGUCCAGCUGACAUCAUACGGUGAGGGACCGCACGCUGCCUCGCAGAGACUGAGCGAUGCUGUAGACUGCGGCGGAUGAUGCUCCUUUCGGGCAAUCACGAAACCAUAUGUCCCGGCUGUCCACACUUAAAACAUUUACCAUCCCGCUGUGCACAAGUCGUCACUCGAUGGUUCCCGCCACAAAUGACACACCUCAGGGGUCCCCUGAUACCUCUGCUUUGGCCGUGGAUACCGAGGGGCGUUUGGAGUUCGACUGUCCCUGGCACCACUAGUAUUCCUUUUCUUUCCUUUCUCCUUCUCGCUCUCGAUCAAACAACUCGCGUUCCUCACGGCAAUCGCAUUGCUGCGCUCACCAAAAGAGCUCGAUCCAGGACUCCUCAAAUGACUUUAACUUUAGAGCACUAAUGAUCCUGAAUAUCUCAGGCCGUAAUCCCGCUCAAAGUAGUCAGCUCUAUCUCGAUCUGUAUGCACCAUUCCGGGUACACAGUUUACUAAAUGUGUAAAUCCGCUCGUAUUCCCGUACCGAACGGUUUCCUGUCUUAACUUUCGAAAGUCUUCUUUCAUUUUCCUUCUGUCACUAUCAGGGAAGUACUCUGCAAACAGGAUCUCUCUGAACUCAUCCAGAAAGCAAGGAGGGAUUUAGAACUCGGCUUUUCUUCGCUCUUUUGCCACCAAAAUUUGCGCAUCCUUCUCAAAGCAAUGUGCCAGCUAAAUGAACCUGUCAUUUUCCAAUGUAUAGUAUCCUCCAAACAGAGCUUCCAUCCUGUGAACCAGGUCUCCAACACCCAAGGAUCAGCCUCCUUUCCAUCCAAACAUUGGCGCGAUUAAACGCAAGAACGCCGGUCAACACUGAUAAGGAUCGCUCGUGCUCGGCCCUCACGCCGGCCGAAUCAGAACUAGAAGGCCCUAAGACCACUGGGUGGAACCAUCACUGGAGGAGGGGCACUAUCACUGGCGGAUCAGGUAUAGGCGCAUCCUGACUCCAGAGCGCAGUUGUCGCCUGUUGCGACACUAGGUCCUGUAAUCUCUUAAUGUUCUCCUCCUGCCUCUGCAUCGAUCCAACCAACGCGCUCACCUGAAGCGGCAGCUCCUGAACCUCGCUAGAUCCCUCCUGAUCUGGCACCCCAGGAGGUGAUGCCGGAGCGGUCUCGUCGCACGCCGUGGCGGCAUUUCUCCUGAAACGAACUAUUCACAUAGUAAACAAAACCAAAUCAGGCGAAAGCAAUCAAGUGUAUUUAUACUCAACCCUUAGCUUUAUGUUGUUGGCCACCCAACAUAACUCUUUUAGUUGUGUAUAAACAACACUUGGAUCAGCCCCUAAUUCACAUUAGAGACUUACGAACAACGAACCCAAUUCAUUCAGCUUUCGCUAUCAUUAGAUUUCACGCACUCGCGGUCCUAGUUCCUAGUUUCCAUUCCUAAGUCCCUAGGUCACUCUAGAUUUUUUCUUUUUUUUUUUUUACUGUCACUUGCUCUGAUACCACUUAUCUGUCACGUCCCGCUAUCGCCAAUUUGGUCGAUCCGGGCCCGUACACAGACGCCGAACGAACAGCACCUCCCCUGUUCGUCCAAGGCUAAACCACAACGAGUACAUGUAUAAAGAAAUAAACAAUUCCCAGGAUCACAUUUCAAUAUACAUGGCUUGCUCGAAGGCAAGCAACAAACACAAGUGAUAGUAAAGUAACUGAACAAUGAAAUUCACUGUAAUUUAAAACUUUACAUAACUGAAAUAUUUAGUUAUUUACAUGUUGUAUAUACAUCAAAAUGGUAACCACUAAACUCUGGUGUCGGCUAACUAAGCUGCAGGGCCCUUGCCACGAUCCUCGGCAACAGCACUCGUACUGGAACCUGUAAGGUUAGUGGUGUGAGAACUACGAGAAAGUUCCCAGUGGGUUCGGCCGCCGACCUCGCCGACUCACCCACUAGGUCUAAUCAGGCAUAUGUAGGCAAAGAAAGUAAAGCAGAUAGUAACCAACUAGAUAUGUAACUACUACAAUGCCUGUACAAAGCUGAAAGAAAGCAAUAUAUAUGAAAACUGUAAAUAUGCAUGCAUGCUUUUCAUUAACUUUACCCAAUCUUUUGGUUAACCCUUUGGUUAACAAUUACUCACUGACACUAUCCCAAAUAUCGGGGAGACGCAACCUGCACCCGACGGGACUGUCAACUGGGGGAGACGCAACCUCCUGGUCCAGUACAGAUGACUACUCCGGAGCUCAUCGUUCAAGGAGGAGCGACCUCACUUGAACCAAACGAUUGUGAGUAUGAUCUGAUCCCCCUUUAGAGGAUUCAACUGACAAACACUGUCACACUUUACUCUAACUAGCUCUAUAUGCUAGUUUCACAAUUCAUAUCUCAAUACUAACCAAAUCUCUAGUCAUAUGUCACCAGGUUCACUAUUGUCAUAGUCCAAUGCAUUCAUAGGGUUAGAUAUUCACAUUCUAUGUUCAUACAUUUACAAGGUUGAUACACAAUUGCAUAAUCAAUAUUCUUUACAUACUCUCAAUGCCCUAUAAUGCAUGAAUUCAUUGUAAGUAGACAAUUAUGCUCAAUGAAAUAUUUUAGACAUAAAAAGUGAUUCAGAGAUUUCGGAUAGCACCACCCACCUGUAGUGGUGUAAACAACUAGAAUCCACGUCUCGAAACGUGUCGACAAUUAGCUCUCGCGACUCGGUGUAAAUAGAACUAGAACGGUCUUUACCGUAAUUAGCGCGUCGCCGACCUGUCGGAAUGUCACUUUAGACUUUCGAGCAUAUUUAACUUUCAUUUGUAAAGAUUUAAAAGAGGUUAAACUAGAGUUACAUUCACAUUUUAACAAAACUUGCAUUUCAACUUCAAUCUGCUUAUGUGUUAAGGCACAUGUAAAUUAGCAUACAUGUGUACAUGUAAUUGCUAAUACUUCGGCCAAUCAGUAACUCCAUUGAUCCAACUUUUAAUAAAGUAGUCAUUUCACUUCUAUAAAUUAGAUGCUCCACUAGCUUCUUCUCAGCUUACUAAUAAUUAGAACCCAAUGUUGAAAUUUAAUUUACUUAACCUUCCUAUGAUAUAAUUAAACUACUCCAUUUAGAAUUUUUGGAAGCAUCAUGGUUCAAGUUUUAUUCUUAAUCACAUAAACCAGGAAUUGAGUUCAUUUUACCUCAAUUUCUGAGCUCCUCUAGCUCAAUUAACUAGCAGCUAUCAACAUCAAGAAUCUUCAAUGCUGAAUUUCAGCAUUGGAGCUUCACAGUUUUCCGAAUAGAUUGGAUGCUGUUUCAGUUUGAGUUACUUAAAAUCAGUCUCACUUAACCCCUAACUCACACAUUAACUAAGCUAUAUAUAGUUUGCCAUUGAUCCUGGUAAUUCUACAAACUGAAUUGACUAUAGCUUAACUUCCUUAUGUAAUGGCUAGCAUCAAUUCCAUUUAGGAUUUUCUGUUGUUCAUAUUGCAGGUAAAGAGAUCCUGGUUCUCUUAGAUAGGAAUAUCAGCUUAUUCCUAAGUGUAUUGUCACUAAUACAUAGUUCUUAAUUAUCAACCUACAAGGCUGAUUUUGGGUUACCAUCAGCUCAAUAAUCAUGCCUCACCCAAAUUAGCCUCUUAAUAGGAUAACUAAUUGAUUCAUAAUCAGAAUUUGAGCAAUUUCUUUACCUUGAAGCAGCAAUUUCAACAAUACUUCUCAAUUCCUCUCUUCACUGAGGUUUGGUUCAGCUCUAGCAGCAGAAACAAGGUUCUUUAGCUGCUCUCUUUGCUCUAAUAGCCCCAACAUCAGUCAACAACUCAAUUAUUAGCUUGGUUUACAAUUUUGAAUCUUACUUAAACCAGGGAGGAAUAUUAUUCUUACCAGAAACUGAACCCAAAUCCUUUUCUCUGCUGAUUUCUUGUUUAAACACUCAAUCCGACCAUACUUCUCAAAUCUGUUAACUCAAACAGCAGGAACUCUUAAUUUGAUCCCUUCUAAGGCAACAAAUUUGAUUGUAAUUCACUAUAGAAUGGACUUACUUUAAUUUGAUGCUAAAUUGGCCUGCUCACUGCAUCAAAUAGUCCACCCUUGCAUUUCGGCAGCACCAAGAACACACCAACUUGAUUUCAGCUCCCAAAUCUGAAAUUUCAGCAUUCUAAUACUAUAAACUUAAUCCCUUUGUAGUUGUAAUUAAUUCUCAGCUGAGGGGCAAGUUGCUUACCUUAAUUAAGUGUUACGCCAGGUUACUUCAACUCCAAUAGCAUCCUCUCUCAGCUCGGCCACUCCACCAAGCCGAAGACACCAAGUCGGCCAAUCCUAAUCAGCUCUCAAGUCCUGACAGCAAGAGUUCUUCCUUUAACUCUUCUCUAAGUAGCUAGCUUCAAUAUAAAUCAGGUAAGGAUUUAACUUACUUUAAUUUUUGAAGCUUCUCCAAUUAACUCCCUGCUUGAAUCAGGUCUCACAACCUCAGCCUACAAAUCCCCAAGCUGCCCACAUCAAACUCCUCGACUCUUUCUUAGUCUAGAGAGAGAAGGAGAAGGAAAAUGGAUGAAAGAAAAGAAGGGAAAUAGAAUUUCUGCACUUUGGACAGGUGUAUUCCACCAGGGGUGAACUGAUAAGGCUGGAAAAUGCAGCUUAGCCCCUGGAAUUUGCAAAAAUGCAUUGCAACCUGCAGAUUUACAUUUCAGUCCCUGCAGUCUCGCAAUUCAGUCCCUGCUGGCAGCAGCAGCAGCAGAUGAUCUAAUCCCUUGUUUCUCAUAUUUAAUUCACUUCGAUUUCAUUCGAACACAUCCAAAAUCAUCCAAGGAAGCUUCCCAAGCUAUCAAAUUAAUUUGGGAGCAAUUAAUUCCCAAUUUGGCAUCAAUUUGAUCAUUUUUUGACCCAAUCGACUAAAAUUUCAGCUUUCAAGUAGCAAUGGCAAUUGGGUGUCUUUAGCCACUCCAAUUCCAUUCUUAUCUAUUCCCACAUCUCCAACACCUUUCACUUGAUGUUCCCAAGCUACUAGUCAAGUUUAGAAGCCUUUAACUUCCAUUUUAGCAUUAUUGUGACCAAUUUUAUCACAAUUGGCCUAAGCUGAAUUUUCAGCCUAUUACAAUCUCCCCUCCUUUAAUAGUUUCGUCCUCGAAACUUAAAUACAUACCUCAAGUUUCCUGGUUGAAUAGAUGGGGAUAGGAUGCACGCAUAGCCUCCUCCAAUUCCCACGUUGCCUCUCGUCCUGAAUGAUUGCUCCAUUGCACUUUCACAUAGGGAAUAGUGCGAUUUCGCAAUUCCUUCACUUCGCGAUCCAAAAUACAUAUUGGGUAUUCUUCAUAAGUCAUAUUCUCCUGCAAAUCCACUGGUUCGAACUCUAGAACAUGCCCUGAAUGAUGCACAUAUUUUCGGAGAUUCGAAACAUGAAAUACAUUGUGUAUUCCUUCAAACUUCGGCGGUAAAGCCAAUCGAUAAGCUACUGCUCCCACUCGCUCUAGAAUCUCGUAAGGUCCAAUGUAUCGAGGACUAAGCUUCCCUCGAACACCAAAUCUCUUUAUCCCGCGCAUUGGCGAUACUUUCAAGAACACCUUAUCGCCAACCGCAAACUCCAAGUUCUUUCGGCGCUUAUUGGCAUAACUUUGUUGCCGUGACUGGGCCGUCAACAAUCUCUGGCGGACUAGGCGUACCUUUUCCUCCGCCUCUUGGAGUACAUCAGGACCAAGAACCAUUCUUUCUCCUACUUCACUCCAAUGGAUAGGGGAUCGACACUUUCUCCCGUAGAGAGCUUCAAACGGUGCCAUUGCGAUGCUUUCCUGAUAACUAUUAUUAUAUGCAAACUCAGCCAUUGCUAAGGAAUCAUGCCAACUCCCUCUGAAGUCAAGUACACACGCACGUAGCAUGUCCUCCAAAAUCUGAAUCGUUCUCUCAGACUGUCCAUCGGUCUGAGGAUGAAAAGCUGUACUAAAAUCAAGACGUGUGCCAAGAGCAUCCUGUAAACUCCUCCAGAAGUGGGAUGUAAACCGCGGGUCUCGAUCAGAUACAAUCGACGUCGGGACUCCGUGUAAUCUCACAAUCUCGUCGAGGUACACCUGUGCCAACUUGUCCCCUGACCAAGUAACAUGAAUCGGCAAGAAAUGCGCCGAUUUCGUCAAUCGAUCAACAAUCACCCAAAUGGUAUCAUGUCCAGCCUGUGAUCGAGGUAAUCCAACAACGAAGUCCAUCGCAAUGUUCUCCCACUUCCAAACUGGAAUAGGCAAGCUCUGUAACUUUCCUGCGGGAAAUCUGCGCUCAGCUUUAACUUGCUGACAAGUCAAACACUGCGCUACAAACUGCCCAACAUCCUUCUUCAUUCCAGGCCACCAAUAAUGCACUUUAAGAUCUUUGUACAUCUUAGUGCCACCUGGAUGUACACUAUAAGGUGACUGAUGAGCUUCCUGUAGCAUAGCCCUCUGAACCUCCUCGUCUUUAGGUACGCACAACCGGUUACGAAACCGAAGUGCACCGUCAGAUCCCACUGUAAAAUCAUCCCCUCGCCCGUUCUCAGCUUCACACCGUACUUUUUGGAGAUACGGAUCUAAAGACUGCCGAUCUUUAAUCUGUUCCAACAAAGUCGGUUGAACAACUAGGGCGGCAAGAAUAGCCGGUACAUCUGGAGCUACUACCUCAAGAUCAAACUGCCGCAUUUCAUUCUGCAACGACGGUUGAUGCGUGAUCAUCAUAGCCAGGUUCUCCACUGACUUCCUACUCAAUGCAUCCGCGACCACAUUCGCCUUUCCUGGGUGGUAUAGAAUAUUAACGUCAUAAUCUUUCAACAAUUCUAACCACCGGCGUUGUCGCAUAUUCAGCUCUUUCUGGGUGAAUAAAUACUUCAGGCUCUUGUGGUCAGUAUAAAUCUCACAAUGCUCGCCAUAAAGAUAAUGUCUCCACAACUUCAGUGCGAAGAUCACCGCCGCCAGUUCCAAAUCAUGAAUAGGAUAAUUCUUUUCAUAGUUCUUCAGCUGGCGAGACGCAUAAGCAAUCACUCGACCACCCUGCAUAAGCACACACCCAAGCCCACUGUAGGAAGCGUCGCUAUAAACCACAUAACUCUCCCCUGAAACCGGCAAUGCAAGAAUAGGCGCCGAAGUCAACCUUUCUUUUAAGUCCCGAAAGCUUCGAUCACAUUCUUCACUCCAAACAUACUUAACUCCUUUAUGUGUCAGGCGCGUUAGUGGAGUAGUAAUCUUCGCGAAUCCCUCCACGAACCGCCUAUAGUACCCUGCUAAUCCAAGGAAACUGCGGAUCUCCACAACUGUCGUAGGGCGAGGCCAAUCUUUAAUUGCCUCCACUUUCUUUGGGUCGACAGAAACACCACCCUCAGAAAUCACGUGCCCUAGAAAUGCCACCUCUCGUAGCCAGAAUUCACAUUUCUUCAAUUUCGCAUACAGCUGAUGCUCCCGCAGAAUCUGCAUCACUGUUCUCAAGUGUUUCUCGUGCUCUUCAUUGCUUCGGGAAAAGAUUAGAAUAUCAUCUAUGAACACCACUACACACUGAUCCAACAACGGCUUAAAAACCCUGUUCAUCAGAUCCAUGAACGCUGCCGGGGCGUUGGUAAGCCCAAACGGCAUCACUGUGAACUCGUAAUGCCCAUAACGAGUGCGAAACGCUGUCUUAUGCACAUCCUCUGGUUUGAUCUUCAAUUGGUGGUAACCCGAUUGAAGAUCAAUCUUCGAAUACACCCGUGAACCUUGCAACUGAUCAAAUAAGUCAUCGAUUCGCGGCAACGGAUAUUUAUUCUUGAUCGUGACCUUGUUCAGUUCACGGUAAUCGACACACAGUCGAAGCGUUCCGUCUUUCUUCUUCACAAACAAAACAGGAGCUCCCCAGGGUGAUACACUAGGCUUCACAAAGCCUUUAUCCAUCAAAUCCUGCAACUGAGCUUUCAGUUCUCUCAACUCAGCUGGUGCCAUUCUGUACGGAGCCUUCGAAAUUGGCGCCGUUCCGGAAACCAAGUCAAUAACGAACUCAAUUUCCCGAUCCGGCGGCAAUCCCGGCAGCUCCGCAGGAAAUACAUCAGGAAACUCUCGAACCACUGGAAUAUCUCCAAGCGCUGGAAGUUCCUUCUGAGUCUCCACCACUGUUGCCAAAUAGGCUACACAUCCUCUACUAAUCAACUUUCUCGCCCUCGUAGUCGAUACAGUUAGUGCAAAGAGCGAACUCUUGCAUCCUCGAUAUACAACCUCCUUCUGCUCAGGUUCACGAAAAGUAAUAAUUUUACUUUCGCAAUCAAUUGUGGCAUAGUACUUUGUAAGCCAAUCCAUCCCAAGGAUUAUAUCAAAACCUUUCAUUAGCUUCAACACUAACAAAUCAGCUGGCAUAAUCCAAUCUCCAAUCUGUACUGGACACGCCGCACAUUCCUCGUGAACACUAAACGUGUGCUCAGGAGCAUAGACCCACCAGGCAUCUGGUCUAUCCGA
rnacentral:lncRNA from 1 species